rnacentral:rRNA from 1 species
UUCUUGGUGUAGGGGUAAAAUCCGUAGAUAUCAAGAGGAAUACUCAUUGCGAAAACGACCUGCUGGAACAUUACUGACGCUGAGGAGCGAAAGCGUGGGGAGCAAACAGGAUUAGAUACCCUGGUAGUCCACGCCCUAAACGAUGGAUGCUAGUUGUUGUGAGGCUUGUCCUUGCAGUAAUGCAGCUAACGCAUUAAGCAUCCCGCCUGGGGAGUACGGUCGCAAGAUUAAAACUCAAAGGAAUAGACGGGGACCCGCACAAGCGGUGGAGCAUGUGGUUUAAUUCGAAGAUACGCGAAGAACCUUACCUAGCCUUGACAUUGAUAGAAUCUGCUAGAGAUAGCGGAGUGCCUCGCAAGAGGAGCUUGAAAACAGGUGCUGCACGGCUGUCGUCAGCUCGUGUCGUGAGAUGUUGGGUUAAGUCCCGCAACGAGCGCAACCCUCGUCCUUAGUUGCUAACGGUUUAAGCCGAGAACUCUAAGGAGACUGCCUUCGUAAGGAGGAGGAAGGUGAGGACGACGUCAAGUCAUCAUGGCCCUUACGGCUAGGGCUACACACGUGCUACAAUGGUGCAUACAAAAAGACGCAAUACCGCGAGGUGGAGCAAAUCUUCUAAAAUGCAUCUCAGUUCGGAUUGUAGUCUGCAACUCGACUACAUGAAGCUGGAAUCGCUAGUAAUCGUAGAUCAGCAAUGCUACGGUGAAUACGUUCCCGGGUCUUGUACACACC